GAGUGCUGUGUAGCUAGAGGUCUCCUUUGUGGGCUAUAACAACUCAGAUCAAGGCUUCUGUGUUCUAUGUCAUCCUUCUGUAAGAAAGCCUGGAGAGUUUGCAUAGCUCUUUCUAAUGUGGCAAUGAUCUCCAGCAACCUCUUCUUGAAAAGUACCAUCUUUGGAAGGCUUACCCAUGUUGAAUUUAGCUUCAGCAGGAAACAGCCAUGAAAACAAAAAGAGCACCUUACUAUUUGAAUUUCCCUUUUUCUGAAGUUCUCUCUACCUUAUUUCUACAUCUACAGCAGGUAGAACUAACUAACAGAAGAACUAACACUUUCUCACUUGCCAAACAUCUCUUCAAGAAGAAUUGAACAUAGUAUUCAGUGAUUCACUGCAUCAUCAGUAAACUUUACACAGUUUGUUCUUCACCUUUUUUCCUCUGUUGUGCUAGAUGCUCAGUUUGAUAACCUUCUGCAUAAGUUGAGACUCAUUUCUUUUUCAAACUAUAAUAGUGAAUUUUGCAUUACGCUUGUUCCAACUGGAACAGAAUUUAUAUUUCUUAGGUUUGAUAUUUCUGUUUUGUGUUUUGCCCUGAUAGUGAAGCUGAUCUGAAGGCUUUCUGCACCUAGUUCAUGUGGUUAUUUGAUUCUUUAUGAUUAUCACAGUAUUGGGUACGCAGUGCAACAAAAGAACACACUUCAUAUAGAUAGUUAUGAUGAAAAUGUUAUGUUUUAAUGAAAUAUUUUAUUACAUAGUCCUAAAAUCUAUUAAAAAUAAGUAUAAAAUCCAAUGAAGCACAAAUUCAUUCCUUAUAUGAAUGCUUUUCACUGAUUGGCAACUGCAUUUUGAUCUGUUCAUGCAAGAGUUUGCAGGUACCAUCUAAUUUAAGGAUUUGUUGUGCUGCCUGCAAUCUUGGAAAAUGUUAUGUAUGUACUCAUAGUAUGAGGAGUAUAUCCAUAAUGUACAUAGGUGCUUGUUACAUUUGCAUGUUAUGUGAGAAGUAGCUAUGCAGAAAAUAUUAUAAAUAAUUCAGAACAAAUACAGACUUUGCAAGUACCUGUCUGGAUCAAGUGUACCACUGUAUAUAGAAAUAUCAGCUAGCGUUACCUUCUG
ensembl:lncRNA